rnacentral:lncRNA from 1 species
GGCUACCUGUUCUGGUCCCCUUCCACACUGUGGAAGCUUUGUUCUUUUGCUCUUUGCAGUAAAUCUUGCUACUGUUCACUCUUUGGGUCCAUGCUGCUUUUAUGAGCUUUAACACUCACCGCGAAGGUCUGCAGCUUCACUCCUGAAGCCAGCGAGACCACAAGCCCACUGGGAGGAACAAACGACUCCAGACGCACUGCCUUAAAAGCUGUAACACUCACCACGAAGGUCUGCAGCUUCACUCCUGAGCCAACAAGACCACAAACCCACCAGAAGGAAGAAACUCCAAACAUCCAAACAUCAAAAGAAACAAACUCCAGACGCGCUACCUUAAGAGCUGUAACACUCACUGCGAGGGUCUGCAGCUUCAUUCUAGAACUCAGUGAGACCAAGAACCCACCAAUUCCGGACACACUAAGACAAGAUUUCACUAGUGUGUGCUGUUUCCCCUGCAAGGGGGAGGGCACAGAGAUGGCUUUGGGUGAGGUUAGGGGGAGGAUAGGCCUCCUGGUUGGCUAACACUUGUUUACUUCUGGGGCAUGAGUGUUCAUGUGAGCCCACGAUGCCUGGCCUGUUCCUCUUUUAACAAAGUCUGGUAGGACAUGGUGGCUCAUGCCUGUAAUCCCAGUAAUUUGAAGGUCGAGGUGAGAGGAUCUCUUGAAGCCGGAGGUUUGAGACCAGUCUAGGCAACAUAAUGAGAACUCUAAGAAAAA